AGCGCUUCGUCUGAACCAGGAACAGGAGGAACAGCGCCGCUGCAGCAGGUGAUGAAGAGCUGAUCAGAGAUAUAGCUCAGCGUCAUUUAUGGACUCAGAGCUUGGAGAAACAAACUACAUGAUACAAUCUGCAUCUCUAUCUCCUCUCCGACAGUGUGUUUGACAAUCAUCCGUCUCCUGUCAAUACAGACUGAAUGUGUGCACGGGAUUGCAGAACUUUUAACAUUAUUGUUGAACAAGGCAUGCAGAAGACACCUGCAAACAUCUCCAAAAAUGUUUUGAUUUGCAUUCACUGAAAAUCUAAAUAUCAUUUUUUCAUGUAUGGAAAUCACAGCCUUAAACAAACUCUCCAUAUCUAGAGUUUGGAGUGCAGCUGGCAGCCAGGAAAGGAAGUGUUCUGAAACAACCUGCUGGCUUCAGCUACGCUAUCAACAGAUGGAAACUGUGCCUCUGCCCCCCAGGGCAACGAUUAAAAUUGAGCAUGUGAAAUCUGACACAAAGCCGAAGUGGCAAAAUGUCUCACGGUUUCUGCAAAAUGCUAAUGUGACUUGUGCAGUGUCCAGAAAAAGGGGGGUGCAAGUGCAGAGGGGGGUGAUGGGAUAGAGUGCUCCAAUUUAAAAAAUGACAUCAGACGACAACAUCAUCUUUCUAAAGGGCAAAGAAAUACGUUUGGCCAGAGGACAGACAUUCACAAAUGAGCCGUGGCUCAAAGAGCCAGAUGACAUUCAGGGCUGGCUCAUUAAGUGUGUAUGUGUCCUAAGAGGCUUCCUUUACUUGCCAAAUUCCAUCAGAGUGACCAAUGCAAAGACUAUCCUGACUACAACAGACUGAGUCUUAGUAAUGGGACGAGGAAUCCAGAGGUUAAAGUAACAGACUAGCAUUUCACUAACAUGAAUGAACGUACAGGGAAUCACUGAAGCUUUGCUGUAAUUGCAAGGAAUACACCGAAAUUAAAAUUCUAGGAUGAAACUGAAAAUGCUGGAUGCACUGGGCCGAAAAACAAAAACCGAACAUACUUUCAAAUAAUGAUUUAUUAUGUUAUUAAAUAUUUUUUUAAAAAUAAUUAAGACUUGUUAAUUUAACUUAAUUUAAUAAUUUUAAUUAUACUGAAUUUAAAAAAAUACAAGCCAGUAUAUUAACCAAAUUUUAUUGAAAGAAAAAAAAACUAUAAAAUUGAAUAGAAAAUAUAUUAUUAUCAGUGCUUCCCACAGGUUUGAAAUAUACUUGUUCUGGUAAUUACCAACGUCACAUAAAUGGUCUACUAUAUGUGACAAACAUCAA